CCAGACUCCUACGGGAGGCAGCAGUGAGGAAUAUUGGUCAAUGGCCGAGAGGCUGAACCAGCCAAGUCGCGUGAGGGAUGACGGCCCUACGGGUUGUAAACCUCUUUUGCCGGGGAGCAAAGAGCGGGACGCGUCCCGCCUCGAGAGUACCCGAAGAAAAAGCAUCGGCUAACUCCGUGCCAGCAGCCGCGGUAAUACGGAGGAUGCGAGCGUUAUCCGGAUUUAUUGGGUUUAAAGGGUGCGCAGGCGGAGGUGCAAGUCAGCGGUCAAAUGGCGGGGCUCAACCCCGUACUGCCGUUGAAACUGCAUCCCUUGAGUGCGCGAGAAGUAUGCGGAAUGCGUGGUGUAGCGGUGAAAUGCAUAGAUAUCACGCAGAACUCCGAUUGCGAAGGCAGCAUACCGGCGCGCA
rnacentral:rRNA from 1 species